rnacentral:lncRNA from 1 species
GCGCCACACGCACCGCGCCACACGGACGCUCCACAUACACAGACGCACACACCCACACUAACUCCACAGAUGCCCCUCAACACGCACCUCUCUCUUUCUCGCUCUCUAUGUCUCCCUCUUUCUCCCCCAUUCGCCCUGCUUCAUCCUCCUGAGGCGCAAACCCAGCCCUGACACAACCAUGAGGGACAAACCUGAGGGCAGGCUCGGCAACCCUUUCUUGCUCUGGCUGGCACAUUGCUUUUUCCUACUCCUUUCUCAAGUCCUUCUAUUUAAUUCCUCCCUCCUCAAAGGGACCUCGAGCACUUGCAUCACUGAAAUGAGAUGAUCUGAAUGUGAGCUGUCAUAUUAAGGAGAAAAAUGUCACCACGCUCAGUACGCAGCUGAAGAACAGGCAGCAAGUGGGAAUUGGCUAAAUUAGCUUAACAGACUGCUUUUUCUAUUGCUUCAUUCCUGCAUUUGGUGUGAGAACAGAAUGACUGGGUGAAGGUGGAAAACCUUCUGGAAACCUUCUGGGAAUGACAAAAAUAUGCAAAAGCAUGAAAAGAGAGCAUGGAGGAAGAUUGCAAGUAGCUCUGGAAGAAGCUGCCUCCACGUGGCCAGUGGUGACUUUCGGACUUCUGCAUAAAAAACGUUCCGCAAACACAAAACAUGGUUCAGCCUGCACUGUCAUGGCAGGGGGAGUUCCCUUCACCAGUAAUCAGGAAGACAUUGCUUCCUGACUCUGCUGUCACAGCUUGUCCCUUGUUCCCCUUGAGAGUCACGCAGCCAGUGAAGAUACUCCUGAUUUGCAUGAAUGAGGAUAGAAGGCGGCCUUGAAUUCCCUCAGCAGAAAGAAAAACAUUGUUACGUAUUUGGCCUAUGCAGCUG